AGCUGUUUCAAAACCAUUAUAAAUUGUAUAUUGGUUUUAAUGAAAAUAGAAUACAUCGAUCAUAUGUUUAGCUAAGACACAACCCCCCUUUCUGAAAGUGUUGAGUAAAAGAAAUAUAGCCAUUAAAUAAUUUACAGUUAGUCUAAGAUUUCAUUAGAAUAGACCUAUGUACUACUCGCACCUGUACAUAAAUAUGUAAACCUUACCUACCCUGCAGUUACACAAUUCAUCGCUCUUGAAAAACAUCGCAUCAUCCCUCUCUUAAAAAUUUAAUGCGAUGCUAAAACAAAUUCAUCGCUUUUUAAUUUCUAGCCGACGCUCUCAGUCAGCAAUUUUUAAGUUCAUUUCAAAUUAAACUUUAAAUUUCAAACAAGCAACAGGACGGGGACGAUGAAAGGGAAUAUAACAAUAAAAUGCAUUAUCGAAUUAGAAACGACUAAACUUGCGACUAGAUUUUUGCGAGUAGACGCGAUUUUUUCGAAUUUAAUCCAGUAAUAAUUCCAGGUAAAUCGGACAUGUGAACCCAUAUAUCAACUCAACUGAAAAAAAGCUGAAUGGAACUGCAGGGGGGUGGGCAGUCAUAAUCCCAAUGUUAAGUUUCCCUAUAAAUACUGAAGGCUGAGCUUACAUAUUUACAUGUGUAUUGGUGUACUUUUUUAAUUCUCAAUAAAUUGAAAUGAAGAAUGAUUCUCUAUCAAACUAAGAAAAA
rnacentral:sRNA from 1 species